rnacentral:lncRNA from 1 species
AAGCAAACCGAAAAAUAUGCAUUUUUUGACUGUUUAUCAACACCCCACACUUGAACUCUCGCUCAUCCUCGAGCAACUUUCAUAAUUAAGCACAAUGGAAAGAAACACAUUUUAAAAACAUACUCAAGCAUCACUAAUGACAAUGACUUAUACCAACACUUAGAAGUCAACAUAAAAACGAUUGACAUCUUUCUUAAAAAGUAGACCCAUGCCAAGACUAUUUUAAAUAUUUGUGUGACUUUUUCUAACAUUUUAACCUCAAAAGAUAUCCCAAUACAUUCCCUACCAUGACUCACUUCUUGUGUCAACUCCAAAAUGGCCAAUCUUCACCAAUCCUUUAUAAACUAUGUGCUCUUACC